AUAUCAGUCAUGCAUAGCAUAUCAAUAAGCGGAGGAAAAGAAACUAACAAGGAUUCCCCUAGUAACGGCGAGUGAAGCGGGAAGAGCUCAAAUUUGAAAUCUUAAAAGGUUUUCCUUUUACGAAUUGUAGUUUAAAGAAGUGUUUUCUGUUGAAAUUUUAGUAAAAGUUCUUUGGAAUAGGACAUCAUAGAGGGUGAGAAUCCCGUAUUUGACUAGAAUUUUUUCAACUUUGUGAUACACUUUCAAAGAGUCGGAUUGUUUGGGAAUGCAGUCCAAAAUGGGUGGUAAAUUUCAUCUAAAGCUAAAUAUUGGCGAGAGACCGAUAGCGAACAAGUACCGUGAGGGAAAGAUGAAAAGAACUUUGAAAAGAGAGUUAAAUAGUACGUGAAAUUGUCAAAAGGGAAGCGUUUGGCACCAGUGUUGUUUUUCUAAAAAUCAAUUUAAAAUUUACUUAUGCUAAGUAUUUUAGACUUAUCAGCUAUAUAUUUAAUUUUUUGUAAUUUUUGAAUGCACUUUUUAGUUAACAAGUCAACAUCAAUUUCUUUUGUUGUAAAAAAUAAGAGGAAGGUGGCUUGGAAUUCUUUUCAAGUGUUUAUAGCCUUUUAUUUCUGCAAUAGGAGGGAUUGAGGUCUGCAGCAUAGAUCCUUCGGGGCUAGAUGCAUUUUCGCUAAGAGUCAGUAUUAUAUAAACAACUUGUUGAUUAUGUAGUAUGUUGAUUUUUACUCGGGAGUGUUAUUUUACCUACGCUUAGGAUGUUGACGCAUGAGAUAUACGC
rnacentral:rRNA from 1 species